GACGGACGCUGGCGGCGUGCUUAACACAUGCAAGUCGAACGGAAAGGCCCUGCUUUUGUGGGGUGCUCGAGUGGCGAACGGGUGAGUAACAUGUGGGUAACCUGCCCUUGACUUUGGGAUAACUUCAGGAAACUGGGGCUAAUACCGGAUAGGAGCUCCUGCUGCAUGGUGGGGGUUGGAAAGUUUCGGCGGUUGGGGAUGGACUCGCGGCUUAUCAGCUUGUUGGUGGGGUAGUGGCUUACCAAGGCUUUGACGGGUAGCCGGCCUGAGAGGGUGACCGGCCACAUUGGGACUGAGAUACGGCCCAGACUCCUACGGGAGGCAGCAGUGGGGAAUAUUGCACAAUGGGCGGAAGCCUGAUGCAGCAACGCCGCGUGCGGGAUGACGGCCUUCGGGUUGUAAACCGCUUUCGCCUGUGACGAAGCGUGAGUGACGGUAAUGGGUAAAGAAGCACCGACUAACUACGUG
rnacentral:rRNA from 1 species